rnacentral:sRNA from 1 species
GGAGAGUGGGUGAUCUGGUUGCCACAUAGGUUACCCCAUUGAUUGCCAGGGUUGAUUCGGCUGAUCUGGCUGGCUAGGUGGGUGUCUCCUUUCUCCCUCAACAGUCCAUGUGCAUCCCUCCUGAAGCUGUGUGCUCGGUCAAAGAGGAUGACCUUCUCUGAUAGAGAAAACUGGUCUUCAGUCAAGAAUACAGGAAUAGCUAUGCUCCCCUGCUAGAGCCUCCAAACAAGUUUUCAAGCCUUUGCCUUCUUAAUAAAGGAACCCUUCCUUCUUU